ACAGCAGCCGCCACGGUAAUACGUAGGGUGCGAGCGUUGUCCGGAAUUAUUGGGCGUAAAGCGCGCGCAGGUGGUUUAAUAAGUCUGAUGUGAAAGCCCACGGCUCAACCGUGGAGGGUCAUUGGAAACUGUUAAACUUGAGUGCAGGAGAGAAAAGUGGAAUUCCUAGUGUAGCGGUGAAAUGCGUAGAGAUUAGGAGGAACACCAGUGGCGAAGGCGGCUUUUUGGCCUGUAACUGACACUGAGGCGCGAAAGCGUGGGGAGCAAACAGGAUUAGAUACCCCAGUAGUCCCUGUCUCUUAUAC
rnacentral:rRNA from 1 species